CCUCUUGAACCUUUCCAGACAGUGGUCAACACUUGUGAUUUUUCAUCUGGGGCUGCUCCUUGUUACAUACGCUUUGGUCUGUUGAGUCAGAUUAAGAAAGCCUUAUAGAGUCAGUAUAGACAGAAGGAAUCAUAACAACCACCAGUAACAACUUAACAUGUUGGCAUUGCAAAGAUGAACCAGACAUUGCUGACACUCCUCACUGUGGUCACUGACACUGACACUCCUGAUGCAAUCCGCUUCAGCCAAAGUGAAAGGUGGCUGUGGAUGGAUUUGUCUGUUUCUCUGGGGGUGGCGAUGGAACACUGGAUAAGACACGUGCCUUUGGUGUGAGAGACACGGGUUUAAUUCCCCAUUGUGACACGUCCACCAGUGCGUCCCUGAGCAGGACACUUUACCCCUAGUUGCUCCAGGGGUGUGCGACCUCUGACAUAUAUAACUAUUGUAGGUAGCUUUGAAUAAAAGCGUCACUUAAAUGUAAAUGUUAAUGUAACUCAUGUACAAACUCCUGAAAGCACUUCUGAACUGGCCGUUCAGGCCAGCUGUGACAAGGUCCACAAGAUGAGGUACUCAUGCACUAGUGACAUCACUGCGGCGGCUGAUGAUAUCACUUCCUCCUCCUGUAGGUUCAGUGACCUGUUCACCCGGGCAGAGGAGUACGAGGAUUCCCAGACCAAGCCGCCCAAGUCCCACCGGAAGGCUCCUCACCAUCAACGAGAAGGAGAGCGCCUCCAGUAGCGCCUUGGUACAUAACCCCACCUCCACCUGCUCCUCUGUGUGAGGGCAACCUGAAUCUGCAUUUUGUUCUUUGAUUGGUCCGUUUCAAAACUACAACGGAAAAUUUGAUAUUUAAUGUGUCUGAUUUGUGAAACCAGGAAGCAGCUUUGUGUCUUCACCAAGAAGGAACCUCCAGGUUUGAAAGGUUAAGCCUCAAACCUGCAUUCUCUCUUAACUGCCAGCACUGGGGCGACUCCACUGGAUCGUAUAGAAGUCUAUGAGAAAAUGUGGCUACUUUUCAGCUGAUUCAUUGGCUCAGUAAACACUUUCCUAAUGA